AGGAGGUGCGCCUUAUGCAUGCACGUCGAGCGAAGCUUUUCAGUAGUUUACUACAGACAAUGACUGAGCGGCGAACGGGUGAGUAACGCGUGAGCAAUCUACCUUAGUUACAGGUAUAGCCCGAGGAAACUCGGAUUAAUACCUGAUAUUCUUUAUUUCUCGCAUGAGAAUAAAAGGAAAGGUCAGCCGAACUAAGAUGAGCUCGCGUUCUAUCAGCUAGUUGGUGAGGUAAAAGCUUACCAAGGCUACGACGGAUAGCUGGUCUGAGAGGAUGAUCAGCCACAUUGGGACUGAGACACGGACCAAACUCCUACGGGAGGCAGCAGUAGGGAAUAUUGGACAAUGGGGGAAACCCUGAUCCAGCAAUGCCGCGUGAGUGAAGAAGGGCCUCGGGUUGUAACACUCUUUCAUCAAUGAUGAUAAUGACAUUAGUUGAAGAAGAAGCUCCGGCUAACAUCGUGCCAGCAGCCGCGGUAAUACGAGGGGUGCUAGCGUUGUCCGGAUUUACUGGCCGUAAAGGGUACGUAGGCGUUCUAAUAAGU
rnacentral:rRNA from 1 species